AACGCUAGCUACAGGCUUAACACAUGCAAGUCGAGGGGCAGCGGGGGCGAAAGCUUGCUUUCGCCUGCCGGCGACCGGCGCACGGGUGAGUAACACGUAUGCAACCUGCCCGCAGCAGGGGGAUAAGCCGGAGAAAUCCGGUCUAAUACCGCGUAACACCCUGAGGGGACAUCCUCUUGGGGUCAAAGGAGCAAUCCGGCUGCGGAUGGGCAUGCGUCGCAUUAGGCAGUUGGCGGGGUAACGGCCCACCAAACCGACGAUGCGUAGGGGUUCUGAGAGGAAGGUCCCCCACAUUGGAACUGAGACACGGUCCAAACUCCUACGGGAGGCAGCAGUGAGGAAUAUUGGUCAAUGGGCGAGAGCCUGAACCAGCCAAGUAGCGUGCAGGACGACGGCCCUAUGGGUUGUAAACUGCUUUUAUAAGGGAAUAAAGUGAGUCUCGUGAGACUUUUUGCAUGUACCUUAUGAAUAAGGACCGGCUAAUUCCGUGCCAGCAGCCGCGGUAAUACGGAAGGUCCGGGCGUUAUCCGGAUUUAUUGGGUUUAAAGGGAGCGUAGGCCGGAGAUUAAGCGUGUUGUGAAAUGUAGACGCUCAACGUCUGCACUGCAGCGCGGACUGGUUUCCUUGAGUACGCACAAAGUGGGCGGAAUUCGUGGUGUAGCGGUGAAAUGCUUAGAUAUCACGAAGAACUCCGAUUG
rnacentral:rRNA from 1 species